rnacentral:tRNA from 1 species
CGUGGCGCAAUUGGAUAGCGCAUCUGAUUCCGAAUCAGAAGGUUGUGGGUUCGAUUCCCGUCGGG